GGGAAAAAAUAAAUAUCUCAGAAUCUCCUAUACCUCAGAUUCCUUGAAAACUCAUGGUACGAAAUGAUCGACUGUCUGGUUGGUUCAGCACAGGGAAUAAAAACAGCUGAAAGAGGCAACAUGCACCAGACAGACACGAAUAGUAUUUUCAGCUCCCAGCUGCAAUUCUACAGCAAUAGAAACUUACAUAGGACACCCGUACUCGCCGGCGAUGCACCAGCCCGCAGCACUGCAUGAAGAGGGGGCAGAACGCAGUCAGCGUGUGGCUUCACCAAGCUGCACUGUGCCUUGUCUUCUCGUCACAGCCUCGGUCCAUUUCUUCCCACCUUCUACUCCCAGUAAUAGAGACAGACAUCGGCUGCUGGGCUAAGAUGAAUGUCCCAGCUUCUCCUGCAACUUGGAUGGCCACGGGACUAGAUUCUGGUCAAUGGGCAGAUGUAGAAAUGGUAUGUGCCAAUACCCAAGUCAUGUGUCACUGCUGAGAGCUGGGACAGCCAUUUAUAAUGAGAAGAAAGCUGCACAUUCAGGAGAAGAGAGCGACAAGACAGACCCAAGUCCCUAGGACAGGGGAGCUGCCAUAUUGGCCCAAUAGUGUUUACGUUUGGACUACACCAAGAAAGAGACAUUAACUCCUAUAUUGGCACUUUUGCUCUGAUUCCAAUUAUAGAUGCUAAACUUGUACUAUUAUUACUAUUGUUAUUAUUAUUAAUUUUUGAGACAGGGUCUGUGUCUGUUACCCAGGCUGGAGUGCAGUGGUGCAGUCUCAGCUCACUAUAGCCUCAACCUCCUAGGCUCACAGUGAUCCUCCCACCUCAGCCUCCCAAGUAGUAGUUGGGACUACAGGUAUGUGCCAACAUGCGCAGCUAAUUUUUGUAUUUUUUUGUAGAGAUGGGGUUUUGCCAUGUUUCCCAGGCUGGUCUUGAACUCCUGAGCUCGUGCAAUCUACCCACCUUGGCCUCUCAAAGUGCUGGGAUUAGAGGCCUGAGCCACCAUGCCCGGCCUAAACAUGGAUUUUAAAAGCACCUCAAAGUGUUUCUGGAAUGAAUGAUGAAUUCACAGAUCCAAGCCUGUGGAGGAGGCGGGGGAGUGGAAGAGGGAAAAAAGAAAAGGCAAGAAUGGAGACGAGAAUCAGGAACUCAGGCUGGGACUACCUGGGUCCCAGCAAAAGAGUUUAGACACAGCAAAGAGUUUAGAAUUGAACUGGCAGUACAUGCAGAAUUACUGAAACUUUUAAAUGUGAAAAUAUCUGUUGUUUUAUUAAGAAGUAGAAAAAAAAUUCCAGACUGUUGAGUCUAAAAAUAACCUGGUCAAUAGUUCAACUUCAGCAAGAAAUUGAAAGCUUUUGAGCUUGUAUACUUGUCUGUGAUAACUGUUCAUUUACUAAAUAAUCAAAUAAAGUCAACAAAAACUA